rnacentral:rRNA from 1 species
GACGAACGCUGGCGGCGUGCUUAACACAUGCAAGUCGAACGGGGCUUGCCCUUUGGGGUGGGUUUAGUGGCGAACGGGUGAGUAACACGUGGGUAAUCUGCCCUCAGCUCUGGGAUAACUCCGGGAAACCGGGGCUAAUACUGGAUAUGACUACUGGUGACAUCGCCUGGUGGUGGAAAGAUUUUUUGGCUGAGGAUGGGCCCGCGGCCUAUCAGCUUGUUGGUGGGGUAAUGGCCUACCAAGGCUUCGACGGGUAGCCGGCCUGAGAGGGCGACCGGCCACACUGGGGACUGAGACACGGCCCAGACUCCCACGGGAGGCAGCAGUGGGGAAUAUUGCGCAAUGGGCGGAAGCCUGACGCAGCGACGCCG